rnacentral:rRNA from 1 species
GAUGAACGCUGGCGGCGUGCCUAAUACAUGCAAGUCGAACGAACGGACGAGGAGCUUGCGUCUUUGAUGUUAGCGGAGGACGGGUGAGUAACACGUGGAUAACCUACCUAUAAGACUGGGAAAACUACGGGAAACCGGCGCUAAUCGCGGAGAAUAUUUUGAACCGCAUGGUUCAAAAGUGAAAGACGGCCGUGCGGGAACGUAUAGAUGGAUACGCGCUGCAUUAGCUGGUUGGUAAGGUAAAGGCUUACCAAGGGAACGAUGCAUGGCCGACCUGUGAGGGUGAUCGCCCACCCUGGAGCUUGGCCACGGUCCAGGCUCCUGCGGUAGGCAGCAGUCGGCAAUCUUCGGCAAUGGUCGGAAGCCUUACGCAGCAACCCCGCGUGUGUUAUGAAGGUCUUCCGAUCGUAAAACUCUGUUAUUAGUGAAGAACAUCUUUGUAAUUUACUGUGCACAUCUUGACGGUACUUAAUCAGAAAGCCCCGGCUAACUACGUG